rnacentral:rRNA from 1 species
UGCAUGAAGUUGGAAUCGCUAGUAAUCGCGGAUCAGCAUGCCGCGGUGAAUACGUUCCCGGGCCUUGUACACACCGCCCGUCACACCAUGAGAGUCGGGAACACCCGAAGUCCGUAGCCUAACCGCAAGGGGGCGCGGCCGAAGGUGGGUUCGAUAAUUGGGGUGAAGUCGUAACAAGGUAGC